rnacentral:rRNA from 1 species
UAAUACAGAGGGUGCGAGCGUUAAUCGGAAUUACUGGGCGUAAAGGGUGCGUAGGUGGUUUCGUAAGUUAGGUGUGAAAGUCCUGGGCUUAACCUGGGGAUUGCGCCUGAUACUGCGAAGCUAGAGUACUGUAGAGGAAAGUGGAAUUUCCGGUGUAGCGGUGAAAUGCGUAGAUAUCGGAAGGAACAUCGGUGGCGAAGGCGACUUUCUGGACAGCUACUGACACUGAGGCACGAAAGCAUGGGGAGCAAACAGGAUUAGAUACCCUGGUAGUCCAUGCUGUAAACGAUGAGGACUGGCUGUUGGGUGCCCUUGGGCACUUAGUAGCGAAGCUAACGCGUUAAGUUCUCCGCCUGGGGAGUACGGCCGCAAGGUUA